rnacentral:rRNA from 1 species
GCUGGGCCAGCCUGAUGCACCAUGCCGCGUGUGUGAAGAAGGCCUUCGGGUUGUAAAGCACUUUCAGCCGUGAGGAAGGUGGUGUCGUUAAUAGCGGCAUCGUUUGACGUUAGCUGCAGAAGAAGCACCGGCUAACUCCGUGCCAGCAGCCGCGGUAAUACGGAGGGUGCGAGCGUUAAUCGGAAUUACUGGGCGUAAAGCGCAUGCAGGUGGUUAGUUAAGUCAGAUGUGAAAGCCCGGGGCUCAACCUCGGAACUGCAUUUGAAACUGGCUGACUAGAGUACUGUAGAGGGGGGUAGAAUUUCAGGUGUAGCGGUGAAAUGCGUAGAGAUCUGAAGGAAUACCGGUGGCGAAGGCGGCCCCCUGGACAGAUACUGACACUCAGAUGCGAAAGCGUGGGGAGCAAACAGGAUUAGAUACCCUGGUAGUCCACGCCGUAAACGAUGUCUACUUGGAGGUUGUGGCCUUGAGCCGUGGCUUUCGGAGCUAACGCGUUAAGUAGACCGCCUGGGGAGUACGGUCGCAAGAUUAAAACUCAAAUGAAUUGACGGGGGCCCGCACAAGCGGUGGAGCAUGUGGUUUAAUUCGAUGCAACGCGAAGAACCUUACCUACUCUUGACAUCCACAGAACAUACCGGAGACGCUUGGUGCCUUUCGGGAACUGUGAGACAGGUGCUGCAUGGCUGUCGUCAGCUCGUGUUGUGAAAUGUUGGGUUAAGUCCCGCAACGAGCGCAACCCUUAUCCUUGUUUGCCAGCACUUCGGGUGGGAACUCCAGGGAGACUGCCGGUGAUAAACCGGAGGAAGGUGGGGACGACGUCAAGUCAUCAUGGCCCUUACGAGUAGGGCUACACACGUGCUACAAUGGCGCAUACAGAGGGCAGCCAACUUGCGAAAGUGAGCGAAUCCCAAAAAGUGCGUCGUAGUCCGGAUUGGAGUCUGCAACUCGACUCCAUGAAGUCGGAAUCGCUAGUAAUCGUGGAUCAGAAUGCCACGGUGAAUACGUUCCCGGGCCUUGUACACACCGCCCGUCACACCAUG